rnacentral:rRNA from 1 species
UGGGGGAUAUUGCACAAUGGGCGAAAGCCUGAUGCAGCGACGCCGCGUGGGGGAUGAAGGCCUUCGGGUUGUAAACUUCUUUUGCUCUGAACAAGGCGCACCAUGGGGUGUGUUGAGUGUAGGGGUUGAUUAGCGCCGGCUAACUACGUGCCAGCAGCCGCGGUAAUACGUAGGGCGCGAGCGUUGUCCGGAAUUAUUGGGCGUAAAGGGCUUGUAGGUGGCUGGUUGCGUCUGUCGUGAAAGCUCAUGGCUCAACUGUGGGUUUGCGGUGGGUACGGGCUGGCUUGAGUGCAGUAGGGGAGGCUGGAAUUCCUGGUGUAGCGGAGGAAUGCGCAGAUAUCAGGAGGAAUACCGGUGGCGAAGGCGGGUCUCUGGGCUGUUACUGACACUGAGGAGCGAAAGCAUGGGGAGCGAACAGG